rnacentral:lncRNA from 1 species
AGGGUCAUUCUGCUCAGCAGGAGAGCUGGCCUGGGGUCUGUCUCUAGCUUCAUAUACCUACUUCUGAUUUGCUGUGUGCAUGGCUAAAAUUGCUUCCAGGAGUUCCCCAGUGGCAUUUCAGGCUUAAGGGGAUAGGGGAAUGGAGGAAAGAGGGACGGGGGUAUCUCCAACACAGGGGCCGCAGGCUUUUCAUGCAAAGGGUCUGAUGCAGCAGCCUUAUCCUGCAGCACCGACCUACCAUGGGAAGCGGAAGCUGGGGGUGGCAGCAGAGUCUGUUCGCAGCUCUGGUCUGACGGCGGCCCUGGCAGCCCAGCAGUAGCACUGAACACCCUCUGAGUCCUCCAGGUUCUCUGAGCUAUCUGCGUUGAUGCUCAACAGAAGACGCCGGCAUUCCUUUAAUGAAAAAGCUGGCAGAACUGCCUGGGAAGAGGACAGGCCACAGGGGCCCAGAGUGAUGUGCGAGCAGAGCACAGACAGCGGCAGGGCAGCCAGCUGGCCCACUGCCAGGGCAGCAGCUUCCAGAGCAGUCCAAUGUGGUACCUGUGGACUGGGCCUCCAAAUAGGGAUGGACAAGAUGGCCCCAGCCGUCAUGGACUCCAGGUGUGAAUCUCCUGCUUUCCGAGUGCGUGCAAAUGUGUUUGGCGAGCACUUCCUCUGGGGAGGCUCUCCUCCACCAGCACCCAUUCCUUGGAGGGGCCAUUCAGUGCUGGUGCUGUCCUCACACGCUGAUCCCUGACCGACCUGAGCC